UACGGGGGGGGCAAGCGUUGUUCGGAAUUACUGGGCGUAAAGGGCUCGUAGGCGGCCAACUAAGUCCGACGUGAAAUCCCCAGGCUUAACCUGGGAACUGCGUCGGAUACUGGAUGGCUUGAAUCCGGGAGAGGGAUGCGGAAUUCCAGGUGUAGCGGUGAAAUGCGUAGAGAUCAGGAAGAACAUCGGUGGCGAAGGCGCUCUGCUGGACCAUAACUGACACUCAGGGACGAAAGCUAGGGGAGCGAAUGGG
rnacentral:rRNA from 1 species